CUUACAGGUGCGGGUAUUCAGCAUGGACAGGUACUGCAGCUCGUCGUCCCACACCUAAGGAUGUUAUGGGAUAUCAGAGGAUAAUAGCCUGGUACUUUUCCGAGAGCCAGGAAGUUUCUUCUCUUGUUGUGGCCAUGCAGGAAAUCCGCCUUGUGCCGGCUUACAUCCACUUGGACUGCAUCUGGCUGGCAGCGUCUGUGGAAAUUCUAUGGGAAGAACGCAAACGUAUCUUGUAAUUAAUGUACAUCUGAAACCAAUAAAUCUCAUUCAGACUAUACAUUUUGAAUUUUAAUCAUUUAUUUAAAUUUGUAUCUUCGAAAAAUUCCCGUAAAUUUGGCUGAAAAACGUAGAGAUCACAAACUAUGUCUUGAUUAGUGCAAAAAUAAAAAAAAAGUAGACAGUGUUAUUGCUGAGAUUCGCAAGACUUGUGGCACAAUCAAAUUGGCGAUCUCUAAUUAUGAUAUCCAUUUGAAUUUGAAUCGAAUCCCCUUAAAACAAGAUUACGCCAUUUGAUUAAAGAUCAGGGGCGAUUAAAUUUAAAUAUAAAUAAAUUAACCGACCAGAUACGUUCAACUCUAUAAUAUAUAUUUUAAUUUCGCCGUUUUUUACAGCAAUUUUAUCUCUUACUCGCAUGUGAUUAUUACUCAAGUAUUUCGGCACGCGAUAUGUUUCACACCAUUGCCGCAUAACUCUGGAUUACACCAGGAAUAAUCCGUAGCCAGGACCAACUGGAAAAUCAGCUGGAAUACAGCCAGGAAGACACUUCCACGACUCAAAGGCGUCAUAUUUACAAGCUCACUUUUAGGAAUUAAAUAAAAUUAGAAACUAAA